rnacentral:rRNA from 1 species
AACUUUUAACGGUGGAUCUCUUAGCUGGUGCAUCGAUGAAGAAUGCAGCCAGCUGCGAUACCUAGUGUGAAUUGCAGAAUUCAGUGAAUCAUCGAAUCUUUGAACGCAAAUGGCGCUCUCCGUUUACCAGGGGCGUGUCUGUCUGAGUGUUG